UACGAAGGUCCCUAGCGUUGUUCGGAAUCAUUGGGCGUAAAGCGCUUGUAGGUGGCUUUGAAAGUUGGGUGUGAAAGCCCCGGGCUCAACCCGGGAAGUGCACUCAAAACUCCUUAGCUUGAGUACGGUAGAGGUAAGUGGAAUACCUGGUGUAGUGGUGAAAUACGUAGAUACCAGGUGGAACAUCAGUGGCGAAGGCGGCUUACUGGACCAGUACUGACACUGAGAAGCGAAAGCAUGGGGAUCAAACAGG
rnacentral:rRNA from 1 species